rnacentral:lncRNA from 9 species
UGCAUUUAAGUGUGGAAAUUCUCAUUUUUCUGCAGUGUUUCAGACUCACACAGACUCCUUGGGGAUGCGGUGAGGAGCUAACCAACUGCACAUGGGAAAUGAGGAUUUUCGUGGUUAGAAAAACUGCAGUGUUUGGUAAUUUUCCACAUGGAGUUGAAGUUAGUGAGUUGUCUGGGCUGCAGAGGAAACUGCUGUAUCGUUAAACCCAAGGCCGACGACAAAAACAGCCGCCCUACCAGCAAAAUAGAUACCCCUCCUCAUUUCAUAAAUCUUGUUUCCAACGAGAAUAAAGCCAGGAACGGACUCUUGCUCACAGCAAUGGCCUGAAACGUCCUGUAUCAGGGUAGUCCGCUCAAAGGGACCCAGGGCACCCCGCAACAAUCUCAGGGCCGGGGAGGUGAUUGUAACCGACAGCCAGGAUCUGGCCCGCUGCCCUAAUUCCCAGCAAGACCCUCCGCAUCACAGCAGAGAAUGGUAGACAAAUAAAAACCUACACCACCAGCCAUCAGCAAGAACCACAAACGCUGCUGUGACUGAUCAAGACUUCAGCUGUCAAGAGUUGGCCAACUUCUCCCUCAUCUUCUCCCCGUCACCUGCCCACCCCCCUUCCCUCACAAAAAGCUUGUUAAUGGUGGAGGGCCCAACAGGAAAUGUUUUUACACUUAGCGCCAAAUGCUAAUCUUUCACUGAAGCCUUCAGUAUAUUUAAAUGUUUAGGUUACCGAGGCAAAAGGUAUUCUAAUAGACAUUACUUAGGGAAUAUGGAGAUUUAACAAUUUGGCUAAGCGUGUAUACAUUUAUUGAAUGUCCUCUUUAAUUAAGGAUUACCUUAAAAAAGCACAUGACAAUUCAAAGAGAAAGGGAAUUAUCAUUUAAGCCAUAACCAGCAUGAAACUUUGUGUUCCUUCAACAGAUGUUUGGGAUGAAGGAGAGGGGUGUAAAUAAAUUCUUAGUAGAUUAUAUAACAUUUCUUAACACAUCUAGAUUCACAUAUUUCUUCAUUUUCACAGAGUCCGCAUUGUAUUGUCUUGAAAUACUUUUUUUGUAGAACUAGAUUUGACAUGCACUUGUGAUACAUCAACCACUACAGAUAUCAAGCCAUUCUAAUCCAAAUAUGGAUAAAAGAUUCUGGUGAAAACUCUGCAUUGUCUUAUUUUGUAAAAAAUGGUUUGAAUUUUUAAGUACAUUAAUUGAAUUAAAUUCAUGGUAUUAGGUAUUUACGAAAAUAAAGACAUAUAUUCAGCAUAUUUAUUAUUUUAGUGAGUACCGGUGGAUUUUUCAGCCCAUGCAUUGUUUUGCAGUUUUCACAGAAUCUCUUAGAGCAACUGAAAAUGAUAUCCUUUCAAGAAAAUUCCGACUUUAUGAAAUUUUUCCAAAGAUGUUUAGAUUUAAUACUUCAAAUACAUUUCCCUUUUGUGACAUUCUUCUCUAGGGCUACCCAUAGUUGUCCCAAACCCAUUUUGAG